rnacentral:rRNA from 1 species
UACGUAGGGUGCAAGCGUUGUCCGGAAUUAUUGGGCGUAAAGAGCUCGUAGGCGGUUUGUCGCGUCGAAUGUGAAAACCCGGGGCUCAACCCCGGGCCUGCAUUCGAUACGGGCAGACUAGAGUUCGGUAGGGGAGUCUGGAAUUCCUGGUGUAGCGGUGAAAUGCGCAGAUAUCAGGAGGAACACCGGUGGCGAAGGCGGGACUCUGGGCCGGAACUGACGCUGAGGCGCGAAAGCGUGGGGAGCAAACAGG